CCUGCCCCACGGAGGGGAGGGGUGUCUGCGAGGGGACUCUGCGGCCUCAGGGGGCUGGCCGAGCCUCGGCGCCUGAAGGCUUUUUCCUCUCGGUGAAAACGCGGUCUUGGCGCACAUCCUUCCGUCGGGCGUCGGUGGGGCUGCUGCCGGCGUCAGUCCCACAUCUGUUCACCCGAGCGGUGAGAUCCGGGUGGCAAAUAGCGAUGGGGGGACGCGCAGGAAACGAAGGAGAGGUUGGGACUCCUGCUGCCGGGCCACCGCCGUCCUUCGCCCCUGGCAGCAGCACCCCGGCGCUGGAGGAGCCCCGUGUACCCCUGGAUAGCACCCCCGGGGCAGGGACGGCCGCGCGUUCCAGCUGGGAGGCCGCAGAGGUGCUGGGAUGGGGCGGUGGCGAGGGCCUGGGUGCUCUGCCCUGGACCAGGGAAAGUACAGAAGUACAGGAGAAGGAGCUGCUGCAGUUUCACCCUUUAAUGCCAAGUAUUUAACAUGGAGGUUACGGAGCUAUGGAAUUGUUGGCUGGAAGCGACCUCUGGAGGUCUCCAACCCAAAGGCCCCAUCGGAGCGGGACCCAUGGACACCAGGUUACAUACAGCCACUUCUGAAAACCUCCAGGGCUGAAAACUCCUCUGCCUCCCUAGGGAUGACCAAUGGCCGUGCUGUCUCACUACCUUGACAAGAAUAUUCUCCUGGGUUCAGUCUGCCCCUCCCACUGACCCUUUAGCCAUCACUCCCAGCUGUGUUGUCUCUUUUGUGUUAAUAACUGCCCUUGAGCAGUUGUAAACUGCUGUUAUAUUUGGCCUCAGCCCGUGCCUCACCUUGUGCACAGGGUGCUGGACCCUCUUCUUCUCGAUGGCUCUUUUGAAUGAGGGCAAGGAGUUGUUAAUAACAGGUUAAGCAUCUUCUUUGUGAUAUUUAUAGGUUGUUGUGCUACAGAAAAAGGGAUGAGGAUGCAGCCUAUUUUUAGGAGGUAUUCCUGAAGCUUUACUGGGGACUGAGAGCCUGAAGAAAUGUCUGGGUCAUCAUAGUCCCGUGUCACCUCACUACAGCUGGUACAGACUGCUGUUUCACAGCUGCUCCAGCCGAGUGUCAGGACUGCCUUGGGUCCAGAAAGCCCUUUUUUGUCCUUGGUGGAAACACUACCUGAAAAGAUAGUAGGCAAACAGACCAUGAUGGAAGAGGGGGGGGCAGGGAAGAGAGCAGGGGGAAGGAGGUCCUGCCCUCUGUAGAAGCGCCUGGGUUGACGUAUGCAAUGGGAUAACAGGGAGAGGGAUGCUCUGACUUUCAUCUGUGGCCACAGAGCAAACUGCAGGCUCCACAGUGUCUUGUGGGGACAAGAUCUUUCAAACCCACGCUGAGCGCAUUUCUGUGAUUUAGUGUAGUUGGGCACGCUUGUAUUAUCGGAGCUACAGACACUUAGGCGCUGCGCAAUUCUCUGCUACUGCAGCAACUAAGGGGAGUAACAGGGGUCCCAGAUACAGAGAAAAAGAUGCUGGAGAAGAUGCACUUCUACACUUGGGUGUCUGUACAUCCACAAUAUUGCUUCUCUCCCUGUUUAUACAAAGAGAAAUUCAGGAUAACAGUCCCGUUCCUGUCAAACUACAUGAAAGUAGCAGGACAGUAUUUGUAUCUUCCCAGUCUGGUUCCAAAUAACCUCUCCAUAUGCUAUUUGCAUUUCAAUAGCUUUCCAAGCCUCUGGUAAUUGGUGGUGGAGGAGGCGGGUAAAAUGGCUAUUAUUAUAUUAGUGUUGGAUCAGCUUUAGCAAGCCUGAAGGCAUGAGAGAGUAUCAUGCAGCUGAUGUAACCCGUGACAGUGUAUUGUUUGCCAUUCUGUGUGAACCUGGGGUGUGCGCCGAUGCCUGGGAGUUGAUUCAUAAUUACAAAGAGAUGAAUGAAUGCAGCUUUGAAUGGGCAGGAAGGCAGUAGCAGUGCUGCACUCCGAAGCUGGAGAGAAACAGGGCGGUAUGAACCAGGAAUGCAUAUUGGAAUCAUGCAUCUGGCUAAACUCCCUGGCGUGCAAGGGUGCCAUCCCUGCCUGGAUGUCAUGCCCAGCUGGAGCUGGGGCUGUGUGCGGCAGGCACAAGUUGUGUCUUUAAGGAGGCUGAGCCCAAGGCAGCUGGAAAGUCUGGGCCCAGGCCAGCAAGUGACUCAGCAUCGCCUGACCUGUGCCCGGGAGCCAAGGCUAUUCUUGGUUCAGGCCGUGUUUAAGGCAGCUGAGCUUGAAUGCUUCCAAAUUGCACCAUAGAGGAUGUGUUGUGAGGCAGGAGCCUCAAACAAAACAGGUUGUUUGGAGCUGCAGUGCCGUCUGCCUGUUGGAUCAGUCCAAGCUCAAUGGAGCUGUGACCUUUCCAUUUUCUUCUCCUGAGCUAGAUUAAAGCAGUAAUCUAUAAAGAGUGAAAUAAAGAGUCAUCAGAGAAACUCUCAGUAAAAAAAUAUACUCACUUUCCAUUAUAUUUUAACAGGUGUCAUGUUCAGCUCUUCUUGCUGCCACUGAAAAUCUGCUCCCUGGGCUUAGCACACUUUUUUCUAACUGAGCAAAAAUAUGUGAAGGGGAAAUGUUGAUUGGGAAAGGUAAUACUGGAUCACACAAAAUUCAGAAUCUUUUUCUUCCUAAAACUAUCAAAAUAAUUUAGCGGGCUCAGAACAUGUAAUCCAUUAGAUCUCAGAGCCUUUCACAGGCACUAAUCAAUUGCCCUCAGUAAAUGAUAGACCCAUAAAAAGCAUCAAUUUAGCUACUACUGAAGUGCUGCUGUUUUAAAAGCAGAACAAGCUGUUGUAGCAAUGCACAACCUUGCCACACAGUUAUCUGGGAUGGAAAAUUAAAAUACACAAUUUAAAGCAUGUAAUUUCAGGGGCUGAACUAUGUUUCAACCUUAGUCUAUCUCCUGCCUAAGGUAUUCUUUUAUGGCACUAUUUUCAAAUACAACAAUUUUUAAGUAAAUCAUUUGCUAAUUUGGGGGAACUUUUAAAUUCAUUAAUGAAGCUAGAAUAUAUUUGGCCAGAUUUUGUAAGUGUCUUGUUUUCUAAAGUCUUGAUUAAAGUUAUGAUCCAAGUGGUUCCUUAAAAAAAAAAAAAAAAAGAAAGAAAAAAGAGAGAGCAAAAAAAAAAGGGGCAAGCAGUAGUCAUAGAGGAGCGCUACAAGCAGACGUCAGCCUGCACUACCCAGCAGCCCGCAGCUACAGGACUCAAGGGUAUUCCCGACCUCUUCAGUCACAGCUGCAUCACCAUGCAGAAGGAAGGAGUAGGUUUUCCUGAGCAAUGGGAUGGCGGGUCGCCAUGCUGCCAGCUCUGGUCCUGUGCCAGAGCUGACAUCCCGCAGACUUUUCUCCUCCAGUGCCAGCAGCUGAGCAGAAGGAAGUGGCUCCAGGACACGGUUCGCCCAGCUUGCGGCGUUCUGUGCUGAAUGCAGGGAGUUGCCUGGUGGAAGUCACAGCUGAGUAGAGCUCCCUGUAAACAGCCUUACCUGCUCCUCACUGCCUGCCAAGUGUUGAGUACUACUUGGUAUAACCCUCUUCCCAGAGAGCCUCUGGUCUGUUUCCUUGCAGAACCAAUGCAUUGGGGAAUAUUUAUACAAGGUAAUUUUAAGUCUGUCAGUUUUCUGGCAACACUAGCUGUCUAGACUACUGCUAUAAUCAAAGGUGAGAGGUAGGUUCCUAAUUACAAUUAAUCACACCCACCCUAAAAGAUCCCUUGUCUGUGUGGAGAGUGCAGGCACCUUACAUAGGUGAUUAAAAUGGUUUUGACUGUUCCCGGUUGUGUACUGCGUCUGCCAGGCGACUGCAAAUGAAUGCCUCACCUCGGGUAAGUCAAAUGCUUCAGCUGCCCUCUUAAAGGAGAAAUGUUAGUAGUACUCAGAUGGAAAUUAACUAGAGAGUGCAUUUAUUUUUGGCCAGUUCCCUGGGAGCACCUGCCAAGCACUUGGUCUCAUUUCAAACCUGGUUGUUCCUGCUGAGAAAGUCUGGUGGAGAUUCAAGUCUGGGUCAAGGAUUACAGCCAAUUGGUUAAACCAAAGGGUUUGUGUGCCUGUCUGAAACUGGAGUGAGCAGCAAUCAGUGUGAAAGGUUUCUGAAAGUCAUUAAAGCUGUUGACCAGGCUCUCCCCUUCUGUGGAAGCACAACUGAAGUGUACACAGGGAUGUGGCUCACAGGGUGCCAAAUGGGAGCUGGCAUGGCCAGGCUGUUCCUUUCCCACUUCCCAGCACUGUGUCUGGGAGCACUCUGGACUGGACCCAGACUUUUUUUCAGAAAUAACUGUGAUCUUCAAUGGAAGGAUGCUGGGGCUUUGGGGUCAAUUUGCAUCUCUUGCAAAUGCCUUAGGAUUUCAUGUUUGUUCUCUGGAUUCCUGAAAAGCCAACAAACCAACAAACCUGGUAAUUUCUGUGGGUUGUUUUUGUGGUUUUUUAUUUGGUUUGGUUUGUUUGUUUGUUUUUUCAUUUCCACCAGGGACAGAAAUUUCUGGCUGAGAAUAUGAGGCCUGAACCCCCCAAAAAGCCAAAACAAACCAAAAUAUGUCUCAGGAAGUAGUGUAACUGCUCUUGCCUAGGUUUUUGUUUAUUCUUAGCUGACUCCAAAAGUGUGCAGAAUUCAAAAGGGGCUACAGAGUGUAAAGUGACAUUCAGUGCAUCAAUGAACAGCUGUAAAAAAGCUUUUCUGCCUUUCCCAGCAGUUAAUAACUUCAUUGCUCAGAACUUAGUUUUUCAGAAAGACCUCAUGUAUUUUUUGGCUGACUGUGAGGACUGGUGAGGAAUGUUCAGUUACAAAUGGGGAGAAAUUUUUUUUUACAAGAAAAACCCCAAAAUCUUCAGACAAACAAGCUUGCUUUCACCAAAGUCUUUGCUCCUGUUGCUGAAAGUGUGCAAGUGCAUAAAGCAGCCUUAUUUGGACGGAGAAGUGUGGAAAUUGGAGUGCAGAACAGGUAGUGUCAGGGCAGUCAAGGUGUCUGUGUGGGACUUUUCCCUCAGACUGGAUAGGGGUGAUUUAUGUGCCUGUGUUGGUAUAAUGGCAAAGAGUAGGUACAACUCAGGGCUGACAUUGCUUGGAAGGAAAGUGUGUUUAUUGCCAGAUUCUGGAUGCUGGCUCUUGCAGAAGAGAGAUGAGUCUGUCUUCUUGGCUCCUAAACCUAUCACAGCUAUGUCCCUUUAUGCAUGUCCCUUGCAAACGUAAAAUCCACUAAAAACCCCAGAUUCUUUCAUCUAAAUACAGUUCUAGGAAAUUACCAUAGUCUCAAUCUGAUAUGCACUCUCCGUUGGACAAUGUUAUUCCUCUUUUGUAAAAAGGGUUUGCUUGUUUACUCAUCCUUCUACCUGCAAUAGAAAAGUUCCAUUGAGUAUAAUAAAAGUUAUGUAUAAAAAAGAAAA